CGAGAAACACUCCAAUUGGUGGGGUGUGAGCCGUGAGGGGUUCUCGUCUGUAGUGGACGAGGGCCGGGUGCACAACAACAGGCAAUCGCCAGACACACUAUUGGGCCCUGAGACAACACUCGGCCGACUUCGGUUGAAGUGGUGUCCCUCCAUCUUGGUGGUGGGGUGUGGUGUUUGAAGA
rnacentral:misc_RNA from 1 species